rnacentral:sRNA from 1 species
GAGAAACCCACCAUAUGUUUAUCAUAAUUAUUGUAUCUAAAUACCAAAUUCAGUCUAAAAGGCUUAACCCAGUUUGAAUGUUCAAUUAGUGUUAUGUCCACUAAUGUCUGUCUUUUUGACGAGAAAUGGGGUUUUUAAAAAAUUUAUUUCAUUAUGUUGUAUAAUAUUUGUGCAUGUCAUAUUUAGAUCCAAGAAGGAACACAAAUUAUUAAAGAUUUCAGUAAUAAUUUACUGAUUAUAAAGACAUUAGAUGUUAUUUCAUUUCGAAAUCAGUACAAUGUAUCUCCUUUUCUGAUGUUUACAAUGGUAAUUAAAUCUGAACACUUGAGGUC